AGUGCUAUACUUUAAGAAAAAGGUUAGAUUUGCAUUCUAAAAAUGGGCUUUUGCCUUGGCGCUG
rnacentral:tRNA from 1 species